UGGGGAAUAUUGGACAAUGGGGGCAACCCUGAUCCAGCAAUGCCGCGUGUGUGAAGAAGGUUUUCGGGUUGUAAAGCACUUUCGGCGGGGACGAUGAUGACGGUACCCGCAGAAGAAGCCCCGGCUAACUUCGUGCCAGCAGCCGCGGUAAUACGAAGGGGGCUAGCGUUGCUCGGAAUGACUGGGCGUAAAGGGCGUGUAGGCGGUUUGUACAGUCAGAUGUGAAAUCCCCGGGCUUAACCUGGGAGCUGCAUUUGAUACGUGCAGACUAGAGUGUGAGAGAGGGUUGUGGAAUUCCCAGUGUAGAGGUGAAAUUCGUAGAUAUUGGGAAGAACACCGGUGGCGAAGGCGGCAACCUGGCUCAUGACUGACGCUGAGGCGCGAAAGCGUGGGGGA
rnacentral:rRNA from 1 species